GGAGUGGACUCAGCAACAUUCAUUACCACCUGAUGCUUGCUAAUGGUGUGACCUUGAAUGAUUCAGCCUGUCAUCUGUCUGUGCCUCCGUUUGUCUGUCUGAGAGUGUUAAUGGCUGCUUAUAAGAGAGCUUCCUAGACAGAUUGCUGACUGGAGUAUUAACACGCUGGCAAGGAUCAUCUGGAGGAUGGGACCGUGUACCAAUGCCAGAGCGUGUACCCAAGGAGUAGUCUCCUUCGCUUUCCUCUGUCCUCAUGAAACAUUCUGGGAUCUUUACCUCGAAGGACCUCAGAGCCUACAUCAUUGCCUUGGGACUUCUCAGUUGCUGGAGCUCUCUCCAGGAUGGGUGCUUGGAGGAAGAGCCUAGACAAGCUUCCCCAUGCUGCUAAGUGCCACUUGUAUCCACCACUAGCCUCCAUCAUCGCCACUGUAUGGUUCUUAACAGCAUUUCCAGGAGGUGAUAUCAGCUGGGGGAAGAGCCUCUGUUCCACAGCCGUCGGUGCCCGCUGCAGCCCGCGCCCAGGAUGUCACGGCCUCAGCUCAACAUCUCUGCUGGACAGCUUCAGGUGAUGACUCCAGCUCCAGGGGCGCUGCAGUCAACAUUGGGUACUUGAGGAGAGGUUGUCUGUGAUGAGUUCGCUUUAUUAAUGACGAAUAUAACACAGAUGGCCUGUUUUCAAUACCACCUGCCACUCCAGUCACUGGGCAGUACAUACCAGGUGUCACACUUCUGCCCGGCAGGCGACAACACUGAAUUGGUCCUCAGGUGCGGAUGGUCAGGACCCCCGCCUACACUCCAUGCCAGCUGCUAGUCCUAGGUUGGGACAUCCCGUUGGGCGUGUCCACAGGAGAGCUAUGGCUAGGAACAAGUCCCGGAGGCCUGACCUGGAGGCCUGACCUGAAGCCAUCGGUGGCCCAGCAGCUGCUCUGCCAGAGUCCGUUGCCUGUUCCUCUCCGGAUCUCCUGCUGACAACAAAGAUGUUUGACCCCAGAAGAGGCUCCCCACUGCCCACCUGCGAGGACUAUCCAUGGCCCUGUGCCCCUCCCCCCACCCCCACUGCACCUGUGACAUCCACCUCUGAGUCCCCAACACAAAUCCCCUGCUUCUCACCCACACCCCAACUCCAGCCCCAGGCUUUGCACUUCAGACCUGAGCAGCCCUGAGGUGGGGGUGGGUAGGCAGACCCAGGGGACUGAGCAGGGACCGGAGGAGGGAUUUCUGCUCUUGGCUUUCAAAGUCUCCAUAUGUGUAGCCCUUUGA